rnacentral:piRNA from 1 species
GCAGAGAUCAAGGCUCUCAAGGAGAAGCUGC